GGCAUCAAUUUGUCUACAAGGUUACUAUGAUGCUGUCUUUCUCCUGGCGCAUGACGCACAGCUACCUCUUGACGAGCCAAUAGCCCUUUACCUUUGUUUCGAGUCCCUUGAAGCAGAGGACACUUCUGCUUUUCAUGAGAGAGGCGCAGACAAUGAAAGCACUUCUUCUUAACUCUCUCAUACUCCACAUCCACAUACUCC
rnacentral:lncRNA from 1 species